GUGCAGCAGUCGCGAAAACUUUACAAUGUGCGAAAGCACGAUAAGGGAACUCUGAGUGCCUCCUAAGGAGGCUGUUCAGGUGUCUAAAAAGCACCUGAAGGAAGGGCUGGGUAAGACCGGUGCCAGCCGCCGCGGUAACACCGGCAGCCCAAGUGGUAGCCACGUUUAUUGGGUCUAAAGCGUCCGUAGCCGGCUGGGUAAGUUCCUUGGGAAAUUUGGCUGCUUAACAGUCAAGCUUUCAGGGAAUACUGCCCGGCUUGGGACCGGGAGAGGUCAGAGGUACUCCAGGGGUAGGGGUGAAAUCCAUUAAUCCUUGGGGGACCACCGGUAGCGAAGGCGUCUGACCAGACCGGGUCCGACGGUGAGGGACGAAGGCUAGGGGCGC
rnacentral:rRNA from 1 species